CUCUUUUUUUUGUGCAAUCUUCUUGGUCUUUCUCAUUUCCUUUUCGGUUUAUGUUCUUUUGCCUUCUCCGGCGGUUGAUCUUUGGCUUUGAUUUGCGCUGAGAGAGCUUAUGAAGAUCGGUGCAUUCUAUGGCAUAUUAAAUGACUUUGUUCUAUUAUUCAAAAUCCGUCCCUAUUUUGCGAAGAAAAUUUUUUUGCCUCUUCUGUUUGCUGCCUCUUAUCUUUUUUUCCCCUGUAAUUUUU